UGGGACACGCUUGCUGUAUUGAUGUCAAAGUGGAGAAAAGGCUUGCCCUCCAGCUAAACCUGCCGCAUCGCAUCAUGUGCUGCAGCCGAGCAUGACUGACUCCCACCCCACUGCACUAUUCACCACCUCCGCCCGUGACACAAGAUCUGCAGUCUGACCUGCUAAGCAUCGUGACGCUGAGGUACGAGAGGGGCAGCGCUGAUUGAAAAUAAAAAUGCACCAGGGGGAGCGACAUUCUCCUGUUGUGACGGCACCCCUACUGAAUGAGAACACAUGGUAGGGAAUACAAGAAUCUCAGUCUCCCUCCUCUCCCUCCGUUUAGUUCACCAAUCAGACGUAGCCUAAGCAUGCAAGAGAGAACAGAAAAAAAACAUCGAGUGAGGAAUGAGUCGCAUGGCAGGAAGACAAAGACAAUGACGGAAAGUGGAGUCCGAAGUGUCAAAGGCCAGAAGGGAGUGAGAAGGUCAACGGCGCGCUGCCUGUCCAGAAGCGUCAUAUUAUCAGGUCUACAGGAUGAGCAGCAAACAAAACAACCCCAGAGCUCCGGCUCAAGCUGACCCAAAUUUCAUCUCUCACCUCCCUCACCUAGUUCCAUUGCUCAUGAUCAACAAGAUAAAAUAUAAGAAACAAACAAGGCAGUAAACCUGGUGGGAAACGUUGCCGGCAGUCAGUUAGGUAGGCUUAGCUCCAUCAUGAAUUGUUUCCCCAAAUUGGCACUGCUGUUGUUCAUCUUAGCUUCCCGCUGUUACCAACAAUCCUUGUUCCGCUUUGCUAAUCUGUUAUGCAAUGGUAGGCACAUAUGGUUCAUUUUAGAGGUGCUGUAGAUAUUUUUAGAUGGCCAUGGUGGUCAUGAUGAAUCACUGAAAUAAGAACCAAAAAAAAUUACAGAAUAGGAAGAAUAGUCUAUGAAAGUUUACGAACUCUCCUGCAAGCAAUUUGGGCUUCAUAAAUGCCAUAUGUGUAGGAACUGCAAUGUCAGAAUAAAUACUUUGCGUGUUGUAGUGUAAAGGCAUAGCAGCCAAGAAUUGCAGAAACAAGAUCAAUAUGUGGAUUUGCCUCAGAUCGAAAACAUGCAAUGAGUUAACCGCGUACAACUUGAAAGCAGAAAUUGUGUCCGAACAAGAAACAAGCAC